rnacentral:rRNA from 1 species
ACGGAGGAUGCAAGCGUUAUCCGGAUUUAUUGGGUUUAAAGGGUCCGUAGGCGGAUCUUUAAGUCAGUGGUGAAAGCCCACAGCUCAACUGUGGAACUGCCAUUGAUACUGGAGAUCUUGAGUGUAGUAGAAGUAGGCGGAAUAGGGCAUGUAGCGGUGAAAUGCAUAGAUAUGCCCUAGAACACCGAUUGCGAAGGCAGCUUACUAUGUUACAACUGACGCUGAGGGACGAAAGCGUGGGGAGCAAACAGGAUUAGAUACCCUGGUAGUCCACGCUGUAAACGAUGAUUACUCGCUGUUGGCGACAUACAGUCAGCGGCCAAGCGAAAGCAUUAAGUAAUCCACCUGGGGAGUACGCCGGCAACGGUG